UACGUAGGGUGCGAGCGUUAUUCGGAUUCACUGGGCGUAAAGGGUGCGCAGGCGGUUGGGUGUGUCAGAUGUGAAAUCCCGAGGCUUAACCUCGGAACUGCGUCUGAAACUACUCGACUAGAGUACUGGAGAGGGAAACGGAAUUCACGGUGUAGCAGUGAAAUGCGUAGAUAUCGUAAGGAACACCAGAGGCGAAGGCGGUUUCCUGGACAGUUACUGACGCUCAGGCACGAAAGCAUGGGGAGCAAAAGGG
rnacentral:rRNA from 1 species